rnacentral:lncRNA from 1 species
AGGCAGGGUAAUUGUGUUGGCGGAGCAAUUUGCAGCGCGCGUCCGUGUUUGUCUUUGCAAUUUUCGUCGAAUCCAUUGACGCAAAGAAAGUUCGACCGAGGGGUAUUUAAAGUGGUGGAAAAGUCGGAGGGAAGCAAAGUUCAGUCCUCGGCUUCGUUUGCCAGAUCCCGACCGUCCUUCCCUGCCCGAUUCGAACAUGCAGCUCUUCAACGUCCUCCACAUCCUCGUGGCUCUUCUGGGCGUUCUCAGUAUGUCGGUGGCGCAUCCCUGCGGAGGUGGAGGCGGUGGCAGCAGCAGCGCUCUUCCGUCCCUUCCAUCCCUUCCGAACGUCAACGCCGUCCUUCCCAGUCUGCCCAACGUAAACGUGGCUUUACCUAACGUGGACGUGGGUCUGCCCAAUUUGAACGUCCUCUAACCGGAACGCUUUUCUCAGAUCGGCUGAAGACUCCCUCUCGCUUCAUCAAAUCGGCCGGAUUUCUCCUACGUUUUUUCGAUGCUCCUACUGUCAAAUUUUUACACUCUUUACAAUACAUAUCUAAUGACUGAUCACGUAGUUGUUUCAUGGUUGUGUAUGUGUUGAAACGGGAGGCUUUCAUCAGGGUGUCUUCAAGUUCGGAAUUUCCGGAAAGUUCGGAAAUAGUACCGACUUUUAAAGGACGGUCCGGAAGUAAUGAAAAAGUGCGGAUAUUUCGCCAAAAGGUCCGGAAUCUUUUACAUCUCUUGUCAUUUUUGUCGCAAUUUUAGCGAAAAAUUCAAUUUUUUCAAAUUUUUCGAACUCUGUUAAUUGCUGGUACUGUAAAAGUACUGAAUUUUCUGGGAGUGUUCUGUAUAAGUACUGAUAUUUGCCCAGCCUUUUUUAGAAAACGCCCUGUUCUCUGCGCAAUAUAAAUCAUCGGGUGCGCACACACUUGUCAACCGAACAGCAAGGGAUCCAUGACGAAUAAACUGUGCUACCGCAUAGUAGGAACAAUGUGAACUCAAGUAAUAGGAUUACGCGAGACGUUGCAAAUCUGAACUUGAACACUGAGAGGGCAGCUAAAGCAUUCAACUCAGCUCGAACACCUCAUGUGUUGAAUUUAAAACAACAGCGUAUUAACUGAAAAAAUCAUUUACAUCUUUAUUAAAGUAAUUCUUAUAAACAAUUCACAACAUGUACAAUUUUAUCCUAAGUUCUUGGGCUUUCGUUACGUAAUGGCAUUGUGCAAAUAGGUUAGUAUUAAUAAGUACAGGGUUAUGUUUUUAAUGAGAGUUUGGUGGAUGGAGGCGUGGUUUUCGCUCAGCUCGCUGCUGGCCAACACUUUCGCGGCUCCGGCUUUGCUGUGGCCGGGUUCUGAGGCACUGCUUGGAUCAGGAGGUGCGCACGCCUGGAAGAAACACAAGAGACACGUCGUCAGUGUUACAAUAUUAAUUCGAUCGUAAAAAUAUCUUAUGUGAAGGAAUGGUCAUUUCAUCGAUAGUUUUUUAUGGCACCAAAAUGUUGUGUGAACACAGCAUAAAAAAUUGAACUUUUUUAAGUAUCAAUUGGAUUGCAUUUUUUAAAAAAUACCAAGAGCAUUCCAAUGUUGCUAGGUUGUACAACUUGCAUCCUUUGCAAUACAAUUACUGAAAUUGUGCAAAAAAUUAAAUUUACAAAGGUAAUUUUUGUCUUGAAUACAUAGUUUAUUGGGAUUAAAGAAGAAAAUUGUCUGCAUGACUAGUAUAUAUUUGCAAGGUAAAAAUGUUGCACAAUUUUUGCAACAUUGGAAUGCUCUCAGUUCCUUUUUGCAAAAUGCAAUCCAAUUUAUCUAUUAUGGCUUUUUAACAUUUCUAUAAGCAUCGUACGCUUUACACUGGAAAAAAAGUAGCUUGGAUCAAACAUGAUGGUUCUUGAAUUUGCCGCCAAGAAUUUUUUUCAUUUUGCUUUAAGCUGACUUUUUCUUGAUACAAGACAAAUAAGACUUGAGUUAAGCAAAAAAAAGUAGCUUAUAUUAACCAGAAAAAUUCUUGAUUUAAGAAGUAAUACUUCUUGACGGCAAAUUUAAGAUUUUUUUUUUUCCAGUGUAGCUUUAAUUAAGCAUACGGAACUAUCAUUGAAUUAUCUACAUAAUCAGAUUUUCCGUUAAUUCUUUAUUUUACGAAUUUAGCCUAUUCCUGCUGUCCUUAUAAGUAUAUUUAGGGAACCCAUCAUGAUUCAUACCUGUUUCGUUUCUGAAAGCAAAAUAAUUUUUUUAACACGUAUGUGUUCCUUGAUUUCAGUACGGCGUGCUUUCCGAAUGCGGGCUUUAUAACAUAUUUCUUAACUUUUCCGUAAAGCUUGUUUUUUUUUUUUUUUUUUUUUUUUUUUUUUUUUUUUUUGUUUUUUUGUCCGGAAUUGCAGCGGUAAUGACAUGGUGUAUUCUACUAGGAGUUGAAAUAACUUAUUUUCCAAAUUAAAAUGCAUUGUGCAUGUGCUUGUCCCCCUAUUGGAAAUUUGAUAGUGUAGACGUAUCCAAUAAUUGGAACGAGAACUUUACCAGAGGUCAUUUCAGAUAUGAACGCUGAUAGCCCGAUAUUAAAAUGCUUUUACGACAAAAUAAGCAAUUUCGUUCGUUGAUAUGCCGCUAAAGUUCAGCAGCGCUAUGGAGCUGCUAAAAUUACUUCUAACUUCAUCCAUUUACUAGGGGGCUGCGCCCCCUGGCCGCUACGCGGCGCAACCCCCCAGAGGCGCUUCGCGCAUCUAAUAUACAGGUAUAAAUAGCAUUAAGAUCGUGAUGUGUUUUUACUAUGUUUAAAAUGAGGUAAUAAAAAAAAAAUAGAAGAGAAGCAAAAUUAAUGGUACGUAAUAUUGGUACGUAGAAAAAAUAAGACACGUGUAAAAUAUUCAAAAAAAAAAAAAAAAAUUAGAUUAGUGGUGAAAUUAAAAACUAAAAUAAAUGUAUAGCUCCAAAAAAAACAAAAAAAACAAAAAUUCAAGUAUAAAAUCAACAAAAAACAAAAUAAAAUAUGGGGUAACAAUUUAAAAUAGUGAUAUUUAUAAAUCAAAAAUUUCUGGCCAAACUUCAUUAUGUAUAACAUUUUCAGAAUUAUUUUCCCCUAUUUUUCGAAUUUUUAUUCCAUAUUUUGAUGUGCAUCGUGAAAAUGCAACAUAAAGUUGCCCAUGGUUGAAAAUGGGUCGAUUUACGUAGAGCCCAACUUGAUCAAAACUUUGUCCGUGAGACUUAUUAAUUGUCAUUGCAAACGCAAGUGCAAUAG